rnacentral:rRNA from 1 species
UACGUAGGAGGCAAGCGUUGUCCGGAUUUACUGGGCGUAAAGCGCGCGCAGGCGGCAGUGCAAGUAAGGUGUGAAAUCUCCCUGCUCAACGGGGAGGGUGCAUUUUAGACUGCACAGCUAGAGGUCGGUAGAGGGGGGUGGAAUUGCUGGUGUAGCGGUGAAAUGCGCAGAUAUCUGGAGGAACACCAGUGGCGAAGGCGCCUAUCUGGCUGACAACUGACGCUGAGACUCGAAAGCAUGGGGAGCAAACAGG